rnacentral:rRNA from 1 species
UACGGGGGGGGCAAGCGUUACUCGGAAUUACUGGGCGUAAAGCGUGCGUAGGUGGUUCGUUAAGUCUGAUGUGAAAGCCCUGGGCUCAACCUGGGAAUGGCAUUGGAUACUGGCGAUCUAGAGUGCGGUAGAGGGCAGUGGAAUUCCCGGUGUAGCAGUGAAAUGCGUAGAGAUCGGGAGGAACAUCUGUGGCGAAGGCGACUGCCUGGACCAGCACUGACACUGAGGCACGAAAGCGUGGGGAGCAAACAGG